CAGCUGCGAGAGCAACGAGGACGAACGCACGAAGUCGCGAAACGAACGCGAAGCGGCCAUUUUGAAGUUUGCCUCCAUCCUUGUCUGGCUCGCUGCAGGGGCGCACGCGGAGCGUGUAUCAUAAUCGUAUUUCGUGUUGCUGUACGCGCUGCGAAUGUGACGGCUCCGAAAGUCCGAAGUAUAAGGGACAGUCUCCGCGCUAAAGCUCCGCAGCAACGGCACCCAGUCCAACAAGACUCUCGGCAGACGGUUCAGCUGGCGCAGUAGUCAGUUCAGUCGCACGAGGAACUCGAUCGGCCGUCGCGCGCGCAGCCUCUGCGUAAAGCCCCUACAGGCGAUUCUUUCUCCGUCUCGUUCUCGCAGCCGUAUAACAGCAGCAACUUUCUGCGCCCAGUAAAUUGAUCGCCGUGCUCGUGUGUCCGUGUGCCCAAUGUGUGUUCAUACUUGCUCGCUCCGCCUGUAGCCUAAUAGGCGCUGCUUCUGCUCUUGCCGUUGCUCACCAGUUGUUCUCUGUGCGCUCUGUACGUGCAGCUCUCUGUGGUCUGCUCAUUCGGAAUAUAAAGUGCGUGUGCUUGUGUGUGUGUACCAAGUGUUGUAGCUUUGGAGAAAUAGCUGGAAAAGUCGCUUGGUUCCUUGCCAUCGAAUCAGCUCGAGUGGCUCGUUGCGUACAUUGACAACGUUGUUGACCUGCCUCACGCAGACACACGACACAAGUUACUCGUGGUUGCUGGCUGUGACUGUUUUGCUCAUACGUGCUUGUGAUUACCGGUGCGUGUGCUCAACGCCGACGCAUAUAGUUUAUAAAUUCAAUUUUUUUACGUUUAAAUAAAAGAAAAACUAAAAAAGACUCAUCAUGGUGGACUACUACAAAAUAUUAGAAGUCAGUCGGACAGCCAAUUCAGUAGAAAUCAAAAAAGCAUACAGAAAGUUGGCUCUUAAAUGGCAUCCCGACAAGAACCCAGAAAAUUUAGAAGAGGCCAACAAACGUUUCAAGGAGAUAUCCGAAGCUUAUGAAGUUCUCAUCGACGACAAAAAGCGGCGAACGUACGACCAGUAUGGCAAAGAUGGUUUGAACAUGCCUGGUGGAAAGAGACGUCACGACGAUGAUUUCAACUUCCACUUCGACUCGUUCGUAUUCAGAGAUCCGGAAGAUGUGUUCCGAGAAUUUUUCGGUGGCAACUCUCCAUUUGAUGAAAUAUUUGCUGAAUUACAUGGACAUCCACGCUCAAAUCGACACAGUCAUCCUAUGAAUUCACUGAGUACAUCGUUCUUCAGUCCUUUCGGAUUUUUCGGAUCGCCAUUCGGAGAUAUUUUCGGCGGGGGUGGCAUGAAUGGAAUGAAUUGUACUUCAUCAUUCAGCACUAUUUCCAGUUUUGGUGGACCUAGUGCUGGAAAUGGCGAAAUGAAACGUACCAGUACAUCGACGAGGUUCAUUAACGGUAAAAAGAUUACUACUAAAAAAGUCUACGAAAAUGGCAAAGAAACUAUUAUGUCUUACGAGAACGACAUUCUGAAGUCCAAAACAGUGAAUGGAGUGCCUCAAGCAAUAACGUUGAAUGAGACACCAACUGUUCCUGCAAGUAUACGUCAUCAACCCUCGAGCAUCGUUAACGAUAAGCCUGCCGAAAGUUCAAGGGUUCUUCAUAAUAAUCAUAGUAAUCCAAGUUACCCCAAGGGUAAUAAACUAAAGACCCAACACCUUCAUCAUCAUCGCAACCAUACGCCGCUUUCGACGCCCGUCAAGCACGAUAAGAGUAAGAGGAAGUAAUGCAAUCAAUGAGCAAAAACAAAAAAAAACUCGAGAGCAGUGUUAUAUGGAGCGUGAGUGACACGGAACUAAGAGCGAUCAUCGUUGUGAAUUAUCGUAGCGGCUUGUGACAAAUUUUGUAUACACUAUUAUCGAUUUCACUUGUUUUUAACCACUUAUGGGCUUACGAUGGAGCAGAGCAGUCAAAGAAUAUUAUUAAGAUUUAUUGGUAACGUUGGAAUUGAAAAAAAAGUGCAAGUGCAAAAAAAGACAUUAGUUCAAAACUGUAUACCUACUUCUUUUUUUUUUAUUUUUGCGAUUAUUAUUUUUUCAAUUUAAUAUCAACUAAAAAUAACGAAAAUUUAUUA